UAAGCUUCAAGCUGCUGACGAACUCCGUCAAGACAUGCAGAUCAGCAUCAAUGUCCACGUGAAGAACCUAGUUAUGCUGCCAGUGUCAACCCAACAAAAGGCACUUUCACAAUAUAUAAAAGAAGUGUAUGGAACUGAGGUGCUUCCUCAGGUUGUUGGAGGAUGGAGAAGAGGACGCAGCCGUGACUUGUGAGAUGGCG